CUGAGACUGUGCGGUGUGACGGGGCCCGGCACCGCAGAAUCUGCCCACUCAGGGCCGGCGAACGGAAAUUCGCCGUGUCCUAACCCGGAGACACCCUUUCCUCCCCCAUGUCCACGCCAGGAGCGGCCGGGCCCCAUUCCGCGCUACAUUUCCCAGGAUGACCCUCCGCGUAAUAGUUGCUUGCCACAGAGCGCUGUCACCACCCGCCCCGGACUUAGGGCACCGUCAUGCCCAAGGCAUGCACGGUCUCUCCCCUUCCCUCCGCGUCUCUCUAACUUCCCACUGCCCUAGGCCACAGGAGACGAAGGGACCCGAACGUGGAGAGGUGUGGACAUCUGACUUUGCCCAUCCACAGUCCAAGAACUUCUUACUGUCGGCAACUUCAUUGACCUUUGGAUCUCAAGGGGAUCCUGAAGAACAGAAAGUUCUGCGAUUAUUGCUCAUAGUCCAAUCCCAUCCUCACGGGGACCUCCCUGCCUACUUCCCAGAAGAACCAGCUCUCUCUCCACUCACUAUCUCCGUACUUUUAAGCCUGUCUGAACUACGAGUCUAAGAGGCAUUUCUGAUUUAUUUAUUCAUUCAACAAAUAUUCAUUGACCAGCUAGUCAAGUGCCAGGCACUGAGCUGGGCCCCUGUUCUUGAGGAACAAGACAAGAAAUAUCUACCUUCGUGGAGUUUAUAUUUUAGUCAGGGAGAUAGACAACAAAUAUGCAAACAAAUAACAAAUCUGCAUGGUAAUAUGGGCUAUAAAUAAAUUUUUAAAAGGGAAACAAUAUUGAUAAGGGAAAGGCUCUUUGAAAAUUGAUCAUAUGUUAACCUUUGUUUUAGGAAAUGUGGUAAAAAUUGAGAGGAAACCUAUUUCUCUCUUCCAGGAUCCAAGUGCAAUAAAUGGAUUUCUUUUUUCUAAACCAGUAGGUGAAAAAAUUCAAAACUCAGAGACGUAGUCAAAAGAUGUUUCCACAGGUCAUGAAAGACAAAGACAGGAACACUUCCAGAUAAGGGAGACUAAAGAGAAAUGACAAAUUUAACAUGACAGAUUUAAUGUAUUAUUCUAAUGGAUCCUGGACCAGAAAACAAAAAACAACUUUAUUUCUUUUAUUAUAAAGGACAUUAGUGGAACAACUGACAAAAUUUGAAUAAGAUCUCUAGCUAAGAUAAUAGUAAGUGUUAAUUUCUUGAUUUUUUAUAAUUCUACUGCCUUAAUGGAAGAGGAUGUCCUUGUUAGAAAAUACUAAAGUGUUUAGGGAUAAAGUGGUAUGGCUGCAAUUUACUUUUCAAUGGUUUAUAAAAAAUGUGUGUCUGUAGAGAUAGACUGAUAAAGCAAACAUGGCCUUGAAGAAGGUACAUGAGAAUUCUUUGUAUUUUUGCAACUUUUCUAUAAAUAAAAUUACUUAAAAAUAAAGUUUUAUAUGAUAA